UGUGUCGUCAACCACAUACACAACUGAAUGUGAAGACAAUUAUCAAGGACACUUAUGUUUGCUCAAAGCACUUCAGAGAUGGGAAGCCAACUCUGGAAUAUCAGAUCCCAUCCGGGCUCUCGUGUGUGCUGCUCCGAAAAGACACAGACCCUCACCCAAAAAAAGAGUCAUUCACGGUCGGCUUUGUUUGUCCGAGUUUUCAAAGGGGGCGUGGCUUAGCGAUAGGUCUAUUGAUGUAAUCACCGGAAAACCUCUCCGGGAGAGCCAACAGGAUCCGCGACAUGCAGGCGGUCAGCUAUGACUGACGUCAUCGGCGGAGCAGUCUGAAGGUGAGUGAUGAACUGUUGCAUCUGAUUCGUCAGCUGUUGUAUCUGUGCAGAGACGGAAACUUGAAGUUCGGCCUGGUUUCCUACCAGUGUCUGCACUCCUUGGCUGAUUAAUCCCAGCUGUUCCUCGUGAUACAAAAAUCCUCGCGCCUUGGGCUGACAGGGCGGCGUGAAGAGUUUUUUGGGUCGGCUGAGUCCAUUGUGGUCAGUUCGUUCUGUUAUGAACUUGGCUACACAAGGAUAAGGACUCAAAUGCACGACCCGGGAGCCAAAGGUAAAGUACAAUUAAGAUACUUUAUUUGCACAAAAUAGGUAACAAAAGAAGAUCACUCUUAAGAGAUGACAAAAAAGGUUUGAGCAAGGCAAAACAGAAAAUCGCUCACAACUAAACUUAUAAUAAGUUUCAGGAGCCAACAUAGGCUUUGAAUCAAAACGAGCUGAAGAGCAUAGCUCUGUCAUGAGGACAGGACAAGACGAACUGACACUGAACGCUGGGAGACUGGGGAAUUUAAACACUCAACAACAAGACACAGGUGAACACAAUCAGGGGCGGGGCUGAUACUGAUGAGGGCGGGAGAACACAUGAGGAAAGGGAGUCAAGGGACCUGAAAUGAGACGUGACAAAAACAAAACAGGAAGUGAAAAACAAUACAAAAUAAACAUGAAACACGAUUGACUAGCACUUUUGACGGUGCACAACAGAUAGAAUCUCAGAAAGUACAGGUAUUUGUGUUGUAAAAGUAAAAAGUGGUCAGAAAAAUAAGUAGUGGAGUAAAGUAUAUACCAGAAAAAUGUACUUAAGUACAGUAACAAAGUAUUUGUGCUCCACUACUUCCCACCUCUGUCCAACUUUCAUCGGACAUUUCGACCCUGAACCACAGUGUCCUUCUGUUGGCGGGUCAUCCUCCCCUGGCUUCCAGCACAACUCUUCACGCCUGUUCCAGAGCCAACAAGAGGCUCUUUCCACUGCCUCCCUCAACCUAAGAGCAGCUGUUUUUGACUCCCUACCAGCUGUUCCCAGAGCAUCUUCCACACAGAUUGCACUGUGAAGCCCCUGCAGUCGUCCUCAACUUGGAAAGGCCAGGCCUGCCACCCUUUGUCCCUGCAUUGAGGGACCAAGUCCUGGUACUUGGUGGCUGUCUUACUUACACAUAUUACAGUUUUAGUUUAAUACACACAGUAAGCUUCACACACACUAUUUAAUGAACAUAGGUUCACCUGCUGAAUUGAACCCGGAGGAAAUUAACCAAAGAAAGUGAAAAGCAUAAAGCAGAUUCAGGCAGGAGAAGUAUAGAUUCACAAGUAUUAUCCUACAGAACAGUACAGUUUACAGAGAAGAGAUAACAUCUGAUCCUUUUACAACAAAUAUGCUCUUUUUACUAACACGCUAAUCCUGAUAGUAAUCUAAGGUUUUUAUAAAUGUAGCCUGAUUUGUUUUAUGUAACUCUAAGGAAAUACUGUUACCUUGUUUAGUCUCCUGAUUAAAUGCAA